rnacentral:tRNA from 1 species
CAGUGUGUAGAGUAAUGGUUAUCUCACUAACCUUGGACGUUAGGGAUUCUAGGUUCAAAUCCUAGCACACUGACCA